rnacentral:rRNA from 1 species
UACGUAGGGGGCAAGCGUUAUCCGGAUUUACUGGGUGUAAAGGGAGCGUAGGUGGCAAAGUAAGUCAGAUGUGAAAGCCCGUGGCUUAACUGCGGGAUUGCAUCAGAAACUGCUUUGCUAGAGUGCAGGAGAGGUAAGUGGAUUCCUAGUGUAGCGGUGAAAUGCGUAGAUAUUAGGAGGAACACCGGCGGCGAAGGCGGCUUGCUGGACGGCAACUGACGUUGAGGCUCGAAAGCGUGGGUAGCAAACAGGAUUAGGAUACCCCGGUAGU